ensembl:lncRNA
UCAAAAAAAUUUUUUUGCCGUUUUUUAUUGUUGUAUCUCUGCCAAAUAUUUAUAAAGUAUGUACCCGUAUGACUGGUUAUGUGGUCCAGGGACACAUAUUAUAAAUUUUAUGUAAGUUUAAUUGCCAUAUCAAAAUAACUUAUGGUAUAUCAUAUCAAGCGACACAGCCAAGCGACUUUCCGCAACACACCUUAUCCCCUAAACACGCUUGUUAGUAAUAUAAUUUAAUUUGUUAUUUUGACUGUUGCAAAAAUGUUCUCAAAUAAACAAAGUCAAUAGACAUGAUUACCUUUUUAAUGUGUAAAAAAUUACUUUAUAUGUCUGACUCUUCAUGGGUUACAUUAGUCAAGAGGAAUACAACAAACAUUGUUUUAGUAUAUCAAGAAAAAGGUUUAUUGUAAAGGUUGACAUUUACAGAUAAUGACAAAAAUGAAAAUAGACUAACAAUGACAAAACAAAUUUCUAAAUCUCUACCACAGUGCAUAGUGGAAUUACAACCGAGACCUUCUCUUUAGUGUGACUUAACUGCACGGUUGAUGUACUAAGUACACAUCUGCCUGCAAUACACUCCACAGGGAGAAAUGCUGCAGCAGUAUCAGUCUGUUCCGGCCAUUAUGUCGGUGACGUAAGGGAAUGCAACCAAUGACAUUACAGUAUCAUUCGCGCGAACACAAUUUAAAUUGUUGGCAUUGUGUACGGAAGUCAUUUUUUGCGAAUUGCGACUUGGUGAAACUGACUAUUGUUUGUGAUGGCGUGUAAAAGAAACCUGAGUUUUACUACUCCCGUGAGUAAUAGGGCUUUGCAACCAGCAGCAAGCCCACUGAGCAUAAAUGAUUUAACGAAACAGCUGAUCUCCGGUCAGAACGCUUUGUCUCGUCAGCUUGAGGGUUUGAUGGAGAAGCAAGCUGCAAACACUGUUCUUCUCGAAGAUCCUAUCCAGCGUAUUUGUGCUCUUGAGCGAAAGUUUGACGAGCAAAGACCGCAAGAGGAACAAAGACCGCGGGAAGAGCCAUUACAUAAAAGGAUAAAGAGGGCGCACAACGUGGGCAUUGCGGAAGCUGUAAGGCGCCUUCACAAUUCGGAAAACAACCCACAUAAAUAUGAUCCACAAACUGGAAUAAGUUCGCCUCGUAACCAAGCAGUCAUGACUUAUCAGCUAGAGGAAUUGAAAUCAACUUUUGCAGAUGCAGACCCUGAGUGUAUACAAGCGUGUUGCAAGACAUACUUUGAAACACUUCGGAGAAAGUACAAUUUGUCUCAGCCAGAAAAGUCCCAGCUAAGAGAUGCCAUUAAAACAGGAGCUAAAAACCGACAAAGGAAAAGACGGUUGCUGGAUUCCAGGUCCAAGGUUGUUCAAACCGAUGCAGAGAGAGAGCUUUGGCAGACUGCAACAGUGGAGCUGAUGUCUGACGAGGAGGAUGCCAUUGUUGAUGGAAGGCCAGUGUGGAUUGUGAGGUCUCCAUCUCACAGGAACCCACAAUUGUCAGAACUUUGUGAGGAGCUUCAGCGCAGAUUGGAGGCAGACAUGCGCUACACUAUUUUGCAUCAUCAGCGUGUUAAGGCUGAUGGAAAUGGACAUGAUGGACCUUCCUUUAUUCAACUUUAACUAAACUGCACUGGUUUUGCAAUUUUAAUAAUUGCACCACAAACUGCACAUUUUCACUUAUUCUCUUCUAUUUUAUCUUAUUCUUUGUAUACUUAUUAGGUUAGAUUUAUUUAGUUUCAUAUUCUGCAACUUAUUUUCUUUUAAUAUUGUUUGUGUUUGGUUACAUUUUAAAUACUUUGUGCUGUGUGUACAUAUUAAGUAGUUUAUUUAGUUUU